AUGGCCAUCUAUCAGGGUGUGUGCAUGACCCAUGUUGACUUUUUGUGAUGAUUUAAGUGAAUGUAGAAUAUAAAAUUACAUGUGCUAAGGAUAAUUUUUCUUGUUUUUUUUUUCCAAUUCAAAUCUGGCAAAUAGGUGUUCCCUCUCCACACAAGUAUUGGCAAUAUAGAAUCUUCUGUGUAGUCUGGAAUCAAGUGAAAGCAACUAUAGUAGUAAUUGCAAAGCAUGCUGGAGGGAUGAAGAGAUGUUAUAUAUGGGCUUCACAAAUCCAGUUCCUUGGAAAAACUGUGCCCUGCCUCCGAACCUGGGUUAGGUUGGAAUCAGGAGUCAGAUGGAGAACAGGACAGAUUGCUCUAUUAGGAAAGAAGGAAGAAAGUCGAAACAAAGAUUACACUGCAAAAAAUAUGGAUUACAUCUGCCAGUGUUUUGAACCAUUUCAGCUGUGUACACAUCCCUGACUCACUGGUUGCUGAGCAGUGGCUGUGUGCUGCUGGGCGACAGUGUGAAACAGGGAAAUUAAUUAUAUGGCCAUUACAUAAAAUAAUAUCCCACCCAC